rnacentral:rRNA from 1 species
GACAGAGGGUGCAAACGUUGUUCGGAAUUACUGGGCGUAAAGCGCACGUAGGCGGCCUGCUAAGUCGGAUGUGAAAGCCCAGGGCUCAACCCUGGAAGUGCAUUCGAAACUGGCGGGCUUGAAUGUCGGAGAGGGCAGUGGAAUUCCGAGUGUAGAGGUGAAAUUCGUAGAUAUCGGGAGGAACACCGGUGGCGAAGGCGGCGAUCUGGGUCGAUACUGACGCUGAGGUGCGAAAGCGUGGGGAGCAAACAGG